rnacentral:rRNA from 1 species
GAACGAACGCUGGCGGCAUGCCUAACACAUGCAAGUCGAACGAGACCUUCGGGUCUUGUGGCGCACGGGUGCGUAACGCGUGGGAACCUGCCCUUAGGUUCGGAAUAACUCCCCGAAAGGGGUGCUAAUACCGGAUAAUGUCUUCGGACCAAAGAUUUAUCGCCUUUGGAUGGGCCCGCGUUGGAUUAGCUAGUUGGUAGGGUAAAAGCCUACCAAGGCGACGAUCCAUAGCUGGUCUGAGAGGAUGAUCAGCCACACUGGGACUGAGACACGGCCCAGACUCCUACGGGAGGCAGCAGUGGGGAAUAUUGGACAAUGGGCGAAAGCCUGAUCCAGCAAUGCCGCGUGAGUGAUGAAGGCCUUAGGGUUGUAAAGCUCUUUUACCCGGGAUGAUAAUGACAGUACCGGGAGAAUAAGCUCCGGCUAACUCCGUG